GAUGAACGCUAGCGGCAGGCUUAAUACAUGCAAGUCGUGGGGCAGCGCAGUGUAGCAAUACAUGGGCGGCGACCGGCAAACGGGUGCGGAACACGUACACAACCUUCCGAUAAGUGGGGAAUAGCCCAGAGAAAUUUGGAUUAAUACCCCGUAACAUAGUGAUGUGGCAUCACAUUACUAUUAUAGCUACGGCGCUUAUCGAUGGGUGUGCGGUUGAUUAGAUAGUCGGCGGGGUAACGGCCCACCAAGUCUACGAUCAGUAGCUGAUGUGAGAGCAUGAUCAGCCACACGGGCACUGAGACACGGGCCCGACUCCUACGGGAGGCAGCAGUAAGGAAUAUUGGUCAAUGGACGCAAGUCUGAACCAGCCAUGCCGCGUGAAGGAUUAAGGUCCUCUGGAUUGUAAACUUCUUUUAUCUGGGACGAAAAAAGGCGAUUCUUCGUCACCUGACGGUACCAGAUGAAUAAGCACCGGCUAACUCCGUGCCAGCCGCCGCCGUAAACC
rnacentral:rRNA from 1 species